rnacentral:rRNA from 2 species
GCUCAGGUGCGAAAGCGUUGGGGAGCAAACAGGAUUAGAUACCCUGGUAGUCCACCGCCGUAAACGAUGUCGAUUUGGAGGUUGUGCCCCUGAGGCGUGGCUUCCGGAGCUAACGCGUUAAAUCGACCGCCUGGGGAGUACGGCCGCAAGGUUAAAACUCAAAUGAAUUGACGGGGGCCCGCACAAGCGGUGGAGCAUGUGGUUUAAUUCGAUGCAACGCGAAGAACCUUACCUGGUCUUGACAUCCACAGAACUUUCCAGAGAUGGAUUGGUGCCUUCGGGAACUGUGAGACAGGUGCUGCAUGGCUGUCGUCAGCUCGUGUUGUGAAAUGUUGGGUUAAGUCCCGCAACGAGCGCAACCCUUAUCCUUUGUUGCCAGCGGUUCGGCCGGGAACUCAAAGGAGACUGCCAGUGAUAAACUGGAGGAAGGUGGGGAUGACGUCAAGUCAUCAUGGCCCUUACGACCAGGGCUACACACGUGCUACAAUGGCAUAUACAAAGAGAAGCGACCUCGCGAGAGCAAGCGGACCUCAUAAAGUAUGUCGUAGUCCGGAUUGGAGUCUGCAACUCGACUCCAUGAAGUCGGAAUCGCUAGUAAUCGUAGAUCAGAAUGCUACGGUGAAUACGUUCCCGGGCCUUGUACACACCGCCCGUCACACCAUGGGAGUGGGUUGCAAAAGAAGUAGGUAUCUUGAUCUUCGCGAAGAUGAUUAACUACUUUGUAUUAAAGGG